rnacentral:rRNA from 1 species
GACGAACGCUGGCGGCGUGCCUAAUACAUGCAAGUCGAACGCAGUGGGGACGGGUGAGUAACACGUGGGUAACCUCCCAUCAGAGGGGAUAACACUUGGAAACAGGUGCUAAACCGAUACUGAUGGAUGGACCCGCGGUGCAUUAGCUAGUUGGUGAGGAAACGGCUCACCAAGGCCACGAUGCAUAGCCGACCGAGGGGGUUGUACGGCCACACUGGGACGAGGACACGGCCCAGACUCCGAGGGGAGGCAGCGGGGGGGAAUCUUCGGCAAUGGCCGAAAGUCUGACCUAGCAACGCCGGGUGAGUGAAGAAGGUUUUCGGAUCGUAAAACUCUGUUGUUAGAGAAGCGGUAUCUAACCAGAAAGCCACGGCUAACUACGUGCCAGCAGCCGCGGUAAUU